UAGUCAUAUGUUUGUAUCAAAGAUUAAGCCAUGCAUGUCCAAGUAUAAGCAAAUUAUAAAGUGAAANNAANNAGGGNAANGAUUAAAUCAGUUAUCGUUUAUUUGAUGAUCUCUUACUACNNGGAUAACCGUGGUAAUUNUAGAGAUAAUACAUGCGCAAGUUCCCGACCUCUGNAANGGAUGUAUUUAUUUNAUAAAAAACCAAUGCCUUCGGUCUUCCUGGUGAUUCAUAGUAACUUAACGAAUCGCAUAGCCUUGUGCUGGCGAUAGUUCAUUCAAAUUUCUGCCCUAUCAACUUUCGAUGGUAAGAUAUAGGCCUACCAUGGUUUCAACGGGUAACGGGGAAUUAGGGUUCUAUUCCGGAUAGGGAGCCUGAGAAACAGCUACCACUUCCAAGGAAGGCANCAGGCGCGCAAAUUACCCAAUCCCGACCCGGGGAGGUAGUGACAAUAAAUUNUUUUUUUGGGGGCUUACNCCUCUUGUAAUUGGAAUGAGUACAAUUUAAAUCUCUUAACCAGGAACAAUUG
rnacentral:rRNA from 1 species